GUGGUGCCGGGCGGGCGAUGCGCCGAGCGGGAGCCGGACCGGGCUGAGCCGGGGCAGCGCCGCGGAGUCCCCUUUGACGCGCUCCAGCCCCGGCGGAGGCUGCCGGCGGUGCUGCCGCGCGCGGCGGGGCCGGUCUCGCCCAUCCCCAGCCGCUCUGGAAGACGGGAGCGGGGCUGGGGACCGGCCGCGCAGGUGGGGAGCGGGUGCCGCCCAGCCCCCGCGUGCGCAGGAACAGAGAACUUCACGCGGAGGCGCUUUGUUAAAGGGGAAAAAAAAAAAAAGGAGGGGGGUCAGGAUGUAUCUUUUUCCGGGGAAAUCCCACCGAUCUGAAAACCGUGACCGCCGGCAGCAUCGCCGCGGCUGCCCGGCUGCCGCUGACCUUGGCGUGGCCGCGGCGGGCACAGGACCGCGUCCUCGGCCGCUGCCGCGCUGCGGAGCGGGUGUGCCGAGCCGUGCAGUGCCGAGCCGUGCCGAGCUGUGCCUAACCGAGCUGUGCGGGACACUCCGUGGCACGGUUGUCAGUGCGCCGAGGGGUUUGCACCGAGUUUGCAAGACCGUAGAACUUGUCCUAGUGGCAGUGCCGCACCUGCCUGCACCUGUGUUCAACUUGGUUCAGCGAUUUUGCCAGUGGACCAGGUGUCUGUUUAGUUUUUAUUUAUGGGAUGCAUCCAUAGUUUUGCAUUGCUGAUACUCUACAUAGGAUGAGGUGGUUUGCAUGCUAACCAGUGAUGUAGAGAUAUACAGGUAAGGUACCAGAGGCCCUGGAGAAGUGAAGACCUAGAAUGAACCAUAGAGACUGGAGACUCUAUGGCAAUGAACAGCUCAGCCAUGGUCAGCUAACGAAAUGCUGGCCUGGGGCUGGACAAAAGUGGGUUUGGGGGUAACAAAGAAAUAGUAUCUGACAUAUCUAAAAGGCAACGUAUGUAUUAAAUUCAGGUGUAGAGCUGCAGACCAGUGAAAAAAGAGAAAGGGAGAAAAGUGAGUUAGCAAAGAUAAAAAUGAUCUUAAAUAGAACCUAGAGGAUGAAGAAGAAAUCAUAAACCUGGACAUCAUACUUCUCCUGGCCAAGGACUCCAAAUGCUCACAAGUCACUGUUGUCACGCUAACUUGGAAUGCAACUGAUCAGGAGAUCCAAAGGAGCAGUGGAAGGGUGAAUGUAACAGCAGGAGAGGAGUACAACAACUUUAACUGCAUUAUUACCAUUUUUUUUCUAUAACUAGUAAUUAUUAGACUCCUAAGAUUUCAGUUACAAUAAAUGUCUCUUCCCUCUUUUCCUGCCUCUUUCUCUAAAAAGCCAGAUGAAAUGCUAGAAAAGAUUUCAAAAAUAUGUUUUAUUGCUGGAUUCUUUUCAGUGUUGGUUGUCUUCAUACACUGUUUUGGAAUUUGUUUGUCAAGUAGAUCCCCUUGCCUAGUUUUGUGCUUUAUUUGCUGAUUCAAAAGGAUGUGGAGGUUUAUUAAUUCCUAAUGGCUUGCCAUUGUAUUUCAUGCUUUUUAAAAAGGUUUCUAAAAUUAAAUAACCUCUCAAGUUAAUCUGGUCAUAAGCAAAUGUUUAUUAAGUCCUUAAUGAAGGAAUUUAUUGCUGAUACUAAUAUUAUAUUGUAUUUAUAGACAGAAUUCCUUGUUUAGUCAUACCAGAUGCAGGUACCCUCAUCUUUGCUGAGUUCAGAACUGCUAGUACUGUUGAACAGCCUGAAAGUCAUGUCCUUUCCUUUCAUAGCAGCUUUUUAAUGCAAAUUUUAUUCUGGUGAGACUGAUGCACUACAGUGAUAGAUUUUUUUCCUCACACUCUUCAACUGUUUACUUUUUUUCUUCUGUGGUAAUGAGGCAUUUGAGUUUACUGUGUCCAGUGUGAAGAUUCAAUACACACGCUUUUGUUUGGAAUGAAAUAACAAGAAAUGUUUUAAAUGCUUAUGGAUUUAGACACUGUGCAAUAGCUCAGUCAAAAUGUCUUUUUUCCUAGCAAAUGACUUUUAUUACUGGAGGAACUACCUCAAGCCUUGAAAAAGUAUGGUGUUAAAAAUACAUAUCAAAAAGUAUCAGAUUUUUUUACUCUUUGUUAAAGCAGGAAGGGGUUUUUUAACCUUUGAUGUCAGCCAUAUUGUUAUCUUGAAAAAACCCCAAACCCAACAAAUAUACUUUAUUUACUGUUAAGAGUUUUACAAACGUUGCAGAACUGACUAAAACAUUAAACAGCUACAACUUUAUAACUCCUGCAAAGAAGGAGGAAAUAUGAAAAAUAAUACUAAAAGGGAAGCUCUUUGUAGUGAGUAGAACAUAAAUGUCAUUGUUUUUAAUAUUUUAAACUUAUCUAAAAAUGUAAAGAGAAAUUCACAUAUCCUCUCUGAAUUUUAUGCUCAUGUUAAAAGAGUAGCCUUUGAGGUUCAACACAAGCUUUUUGCAAGUAUAUAAACAGCUCAGUGUGUAAGUUAACUAAAUCAUUAAAAAGAAAGAUAAACCACCACAUAACAGCUAAAUAUCCUAAACAUAUGAGGAAAAAAAAUAGCACACCUGAAAUAUGAGUCUGUUCAUGAAAGUGCCUUACAGUACACAUAAUAUAUUCUGAAGUUUAGCAGAGCUCUUAAUACCCUGAUAAACUGGGGGAGUUUCUUGUGUCCCAGUUAGCACACAAGACCAUAAUUUAGCUUUCAAUCCCAUAAGUUAGAAGAGUUCAACAAUUCUUUCUGAAAAAUGAUACAGCACUCUUGAAAAGUAUUAAAGGACAUACAGGAGCUGAACUGCUCUUAUUCACAGCAGAAACAGUAUAAGAAGUGUAAUCCCCAUACAGCCCUAUCAGCAGGAUUUCUUUCUGUCCUGGAUCAACAGGGGUGGCAGAAGUCAGGAAUCAUACCUGUUAAAUCAUUGUUUUAGCUGUUAAAACAGCCAACAAGAUGUGUGAUCUGUGGGCUAAAUAUUGGUAUUGGGGACCCUGGCAGACAGUAGGAACUACGCUGAAAUUCGUCUCCGAAAAAAAAAAAGGAAACAAAAUUCUGUAUAUCGUUUAGCGUUUAACCUCUGAUUUUAGGAGAGCAAUACUGUAGUACUGAGGCAUGUUGUACUGGCAGAUCUUUUAUAUCAAACUGUAAAAUAACCUUUUAGAGAUAAACGUUAUUUCACUCAUCUGUUCUGUUCAGGUUUGAAUAUGUAACUGAUGCAAGGAUGCAGCGCUGCCUUUACAGAUCUAGGGGAGGAAUAUUUGAUUAUUUAUUUUUAAAUGUGUUACAGUUUACUAUUCAGCCUCAUUUGGUAAACCAUUGCUUAAUAUCAUGCAGAUGUAUGCUGUGAGAUGCAAAUCACAGUUAUGUGAUAGGUGCUCUAUAGACAAGUAAGGAAACAAAGUUCUUGUCCCCUCAUGAUCUCUUCUGAAGUGCAUUGGGAUCUGAUUUCACACUGCAUGACAAAGUGUUUCCUUUCAUUAUUUUAUCUCCCAUGUAUUAUGUCAGCUGGAAGGAGGUGAUCUCCCCAUAAACAAAGCAAGGCAACUUCCUUUGUGUGCAGUGAGUCCUUCAAGAUGCUUGUUUAUCUACAGUGAUCAGCUGCAAGCACAGCUUCCAUUUAUAUAGUGUCCUUCAUAGCAAUGUCACCAUGAACAUAAUGAAUAUACUUGGAAGUAUUUAAAAACUCCAUAAAUAUAUAUUUCUUUGUGACUGCCUUCAACAGUGAUGUAAGAUAGGCCUUUUGAAUGGAAGAAUGGAGGGUGGUGGAGUGUUUUUUCAGAUCCAAGCAAUUCUGCUUUGCAUGAGUGACCAGGACAUAUGAAGAACAUUUCUUUUUUCUCCAUUGCUCCAUUCAAUUUAGAUAUUUUUAUCUUUGUUUUAAAUGUAUUAGAGUUUUUAUUGUUCCCCACCCCAUAUUUAAUUUUUUGUUGGAUCAACUGUUUUGACAAGCAUUUGCACUAAUACCUAAGAAAUUAAUUAUAAAAAAUUAAUCCAGCUCUCAGCUGGGUUAACCAAGAGAGAAGAGCCUUCACAUAACAGUCAGUGGCUGAAUCCAGCUGGCAAAAAUCAAUGUGGUUCUGUUUAAUCAUGAUUAAUGUUUUCACUUAUUUUUUCAUUUUGCAUGCAAUUUUCUUUUUAAGGCUCUUGGAGGAUGAUUUGGCAAUUGCUACUCAAACCAGAGAGCUUGAUUCUGUGUCAUGUGAUUUGCUUACCAGCAAGGGGAUGUGACCAGUAGUGGAAUGUGACUUGUCCUUAAUUUCCAUUUUCUCAAAGGACACAGUUACCAGAAUUCAGGAUUGUUGUCCCUUGGUACUGCUCUGCAAAGGUUGGAAUUGUCAUCACUGGUAGUAUUUUGUGAUUGACACACAGGACUGUUUCUGUUACCCUUAUUUUCAUUGAAGAUCAUCUUAAGAGAAAUUAUUCACGUUUCUGUUUCUGUAGUGGCAUCCACAUAGAUUAGAAUGCUGCCCAGCAAGGGGCUGGGAACAUGGGUAUCAAAAUUUUUUGCAGAGAUAGAAGAACUACAUCAGGAACAUUUGUCUGUGUGCUCUUGCUUAUCAUCUGGAAGAAAAAUUUGUCCAAAGUCUCAGUCCCAAACAGCUUGUAAUGCAAGUAGAGGAGCAAUAAAAGGAAAAAUGGAAUAUAUGGAUAGAAAGAAUGAGGGGAAAAACAGUGAAGCCAUCACAUUAUAAAGCAGUUUAGUGGUACUGAGCUUGCUAGUUCUAUAUAUACACAGCUGGUGUUACGGUAAUUUCCUGAUUGCUUGUGGUUCUACUUAUGUAUUCAUGAGUAUUUAUCUAUUUAAAUACAUAUAGACAUAUGACAUUCAUAUAUUACAUUAAAAGAACAUUAAGUUUGAAAAUGAAAAUGCCUGAAUUCAAAAGCUAUCUGGUAUAGUUUUAAUUUUGUGAUUUGUAUUUUUCUUAGGACUCUUACCUUAUUCAGAGAAUGGAAGGGAUGAAUCCUGCUACUUGCAGGAUUGUUUAGUGUUUUGAUUUAUUGAAUUACUAAAAAUUUGGCCUCAGGAUUUAUUGAUUACAAUCUCCAAUGUAUCUUCUAGUUGCUGCAGCAAUUCAGAAAGAAGUCCUAAUAAGAAUGUUCUCCUGGCUAUAUAUCACCAGGACAUGAUGUGUACCAUAAAAAAAUAAUGUGACAUGUUGCAACGGAAAACUAUAUUGCAAACGUAGUUGAAAUAGAACAAUAUUAAAAUUGAGACACUAGAUUGAUUUAAGUUUAUUCAGAUGAAAGGUAUUUUUUAGUGUGGGCAAAAUUCUAUGCUCUUACCAGGUAUUCUUCCUGGAAAUGGAGAAAGCCUUUUGGGGAAAACUUUAAAAAUAAAUCAGUCUGUCUGUCCUUUCCUGUGUGCAGAAAGCUUCUCCUCAAAUAGAUAACAUUAGACAAAAUUAUAAGCAAUUGAAAACAGCAUUUUUUAAAUGGCAAGUAUGCAAAACUAUUACUAGAAUGGAACUACCUUUCCCCACAAUUAAAAUGCAUACAUGCCUGCGUAGGAUAGAAUAAAACAUAGAUUUUUAACACCACAGCUUAACAGGAUAAUAUUACUUGAGUAAGAGUGUGUAAUUUACAGAAAUCACCCCAGGCAGGUGUUGGUGUUUUUUUCUGCUCCACCAAAUAAUUUAAUGUGUGUUAAGACAGAAUCAUUCUAGAAAGUUCUUGGAAAUUCUAGUAUUUAUUUUUAUCAUUCCAAGACUUGAAUCGGGAGGAAUUAAUCCUAAUAUUUUAAAACUUGAAAGUCCAGCAGUCCAUAAAACAUGAUAUUUUGAUGACAGUCUCUAACAGUUUUCAGAACUUUCAAGUCGAUCCAGAUUUUGAAUUUCCAGAACUCAACCCGUUUAAUUGUAUUUGGCACAUAUGUAAGUAUGUCUUCAGCAAAUCUAUUAAAGGAACAUUAAAGUUGCAAAUUCAACCACUCAGUUGUUAGUAAAUGGUAAAAUUAUGGUUGUCUAUUUGACCUUAUUUUAUGACCCAGUGAAGUAUGAUUACUUUUUAGAAAUUAUGGUCGCAUAAUAUUGAAUCAAUAAUAUAGUAGGUAUUAGUAAAUACAGUAAUACAUUUACCUACAUUUGGACAAAAUCAGUAAGGGUACAGGAGGUGCAGAGCUUCAUCCAUUAGUCAUCUUUUCUGUGUAGCCAGGUCUCCAUAUCAAAAAAAGCAAUACUGUGUCAUUUCUGUCUCUUGUAGGUGACAAUGGAAUUUGUAGCUGGUUAAAGAAAACGCUUUGUUUGCUGGAGUACUGCAGUAGUCUUGAAAUGUUGUCACAGAACAUAAAUGUCUGGACACCUAAUCCCAACCUCUCCUAAUUGUUUGGCAGAUAUUUGGAAGAAGUUUAUAAAGCUGAGUUUUCUUACACAGGCAUUCACAAAUAAGAGGUCUGAACUGUGAUCACAAAAAGAAACUGGAAGCAUAUUUUAAGGGAUUACUUUCUCGAAAAUGAAAUUUUGUAUUUGGUCGAUUUUUUUCUAUAAUAAGGAUGACUGGAAAACUACCUUAUUUUCACUUUGGAAUAUGCAGUUUCUGUGGGGAAGGAAUGGCUCCUUCAUAGAUAUCUGUUGUGAUAGAAUAUUAUUCCUUUUCAGCAUCAUACAUUUUAUCACAUGAAUCAUUUUAUCAGCCUAAAAGUAAUUUAAACGGCUACUGAUAGAGAUGGUUACAGUGCUAAGAGACAGAAGGUAAAAUGGGUUUGAACCCUUCAAGGUUUAUUUUUUUUUUUGUUUUUUUUUAAAGUUUAAACAGAUUAUAAAAUUUUGAAAAUCACCUGCUGCAAAUGUAUAGUAGAUUUUUCAUGUCUGUUUUAAAGAAAAUUGUAGUGUGCUUAGGUAAUGAAAUCCAAAUUCAAAGUAAAUGUGAAGACUUUAUUCUCUCUUACUCUCUCGCACCCUACUCUAAGAGAGGGGAGGUGAAGAAGCCGUAGGAAUUAUGGUCCAUGGUGAGGUAAGGCUGAAUUUUUCACCUCUUUUCCUGUAGCAGUACAUUACACAGCUGCCUUAUUUUUUUAUUUAAAGACUAUAUUGAAAAAUUCAGAUCUUUCAUGGUUAACUUGUCAUUUACUCUUUUAGAAAGCCCAAAAGUAAGGUCAGUCUGAUUAUGUUUCCAAGCACAUUUUAACACAGAUCUACUCUCUAAAACAUUUAAAAAUGCUUUUCAUGUCAAAAUCAUUAAAUGUAACCCACAUACAAAGUGAAAUGCUAUUAGUGAAAGUCAAUAAAACUCACCUGAAGUGUUAAACUUAGGUGCCUCUUAAGGGAUGAAAGCAUUAAAAGAGACAAAGGUUUUAAUCUGUCUCUUUUUGUCUUUGUGUUUUCCUGUUUUUGUGAGUGUACCCAGGGUAGUUAAUGUUUUUGCAAUUAUACCUAACAGCUGGAAGUAUACUUGACUGAAAUGACCAAAAUCUUUUAUCAGUAAUUCUGAUAAUUAUCCUGCCCUUUGAAAAUAAGGCCUGAACUAUAAUUAUUUCUGUCAGGGAUAUUUCAAGAAAUGUUCUGUGUUAGAAUAAGGCAGAUCCUUAGUAUGGCUUUAAUGUCUACCUGAGCACUGUCAUUUAAGAUAACUAGUGUAGGUCUGCCUAUUGAUAUAUAAGAAGAAGAUGAAUGCUUAACAGAAGACAUACAAGGUAUGUACACUUUUUGGAGGAAUCAAGUAUUUGCUUUAAGCAAGUUCCUCUCCUGGGAGGAAUCCAGCUGUAUAGUAAAAGUGUUAUUUAGGUCCCUCCAUAGUUUUGAGGAUGCCCCUGACUCUAUAAAGACUCCAAAGAGAUUAGUUGAUAUGCUGCAUCUCUAAAAACAAUUUCAAUAGCUCUAAGUAAGUCUUUGUGCCAAUUAUGUUAAUGAAGCUGCAAAGGGAUUGCAAAUUUAGAAGUCCUCUAAAGUCCAGUGCUGGCCUAGCCAUUAAAUCAGGCUCUUUAAUCUCUCUAAUUGGUGCUUUUGAGUAUAGAAGAAUAUAUGAACCCUGCUGUGUUCUAAAAGCUGUAGAGCAUCUUCACUAGCCAAUAAUACCCAGUGAAAAUAGACUUCUCAGACUCCAAGCCUCCUGUACUAAAUAAUGAUGUGGAAAAGUUUAAUUUCCCUGCUACCUGUCAGUGCAGUUUUGCCUGUCGAACAGUGCUUGGCUGCACCUGUGCUGGAAAUGGAUCAGCUCUGACCUCCAUGACUGUAAGGUUCCUGUCCUAGGCAUGGCUACAUAUCCUGUCCAUGAGACAAUACUUAGGAGUAGCCAGAAAUUCUUGUCUCACUGACGGAUUAGGGGGUUCAGUGCCAUGAUUCCUCUCCAGAGCCAUCAAGCCUCUCCUCACAGAAGGAGACUUUUACAAACUGAUGACCAGUUAUUUAAACUCAGGUACUAAAACUUUGAUAGCCCAGAUGAUUACUUAAAACUGUUUAAACUUAGAAUAACAACUUUCUCUCACAAAAGUAUGGUUCUAAUGGAUGCUAGUUCUUUUAAAGCCAUAAAGACCAGCUCCUUGGCUGCAGUAAAUGUGUAUGGUUUCACCAAAAUUCAUAGGGCUUUUUGGCAGCUAAGGAAUUACUAUCAAUUCAGUAUUUAAUUUAGAGAAUAUCAGUAAGGUUGCUACUUUCUAGCUACAGAUUUUAUGCCAAUCUCACUUCCAGCUGCUAUAUGCAUUCUUUUAACAGUGUGACUUCUGUAGUGGUAAUAUAUGUGUGCAUUAGGGUGACUCAGGCAUUACCUAUCUCUUUUGCCUUGCUUGGAAAAGGGAGUAAGAUUCAGUGAGUUCCAGCCUUAUCUUGUCUCUGAUUGCUUCUGCUUUAAGCUUCUGGCUCAAGUUCUGAAGAACUCUUAUACUUCAUUUUUUUUUCAGAUAAUGUUCAUUCUUUUGUAAUUUUUAUUGCCCAUGGCUAUUAGUUUUCUAGAACAGGUUUACAGGGUGUCAUCCUUAUGAUUUGUAUAAGAACUCCAAGACAGUAUAAUGGGGCUUGUGCUUCAAAUAAAGAAUUAUAUAAUAUAAUUUAUUUUUUCCUUAACAUCCACCCUCACUACUGGAAGAAGAAAAAAAGGCUACUCGCUGAGAGAAGAGAAUGCAAAGCUAAUGAAUCCACUAGAGGAAGGCUCUGCAUUUCUGUGUCCAUCCUAUGCUAAGCAGAAUCUCAGUCAUGGAAUAUCAAAAGAGAUUUGCCCUGUAUGGUAUGGAAGAGUGACGUGGACAUCCUACUUACCCACAAUCUUGUUGCCUUGGACAAUGAGUUGCAGUGCAGCAGGAAUCCAUGCAUUUGAAAGGACUAUUCACUUCAUCAGACUGUCAUCAUCCUCCAGUCUCUCAUGUUUGUUUCACAUCACCCUUCAUGUGAGCUGCUGGCCUUCCCAUGCAUAUCUGUGUGGUACUUAGGACAGAGGACUAUAGUGUCCUUUGUGCCUCUGGGUAAUAAGUCAUUCUGACCUAAAACAAUAUGAGAACGAGUCUGUGUAAGGUUUGUUAGAGGAGUGGUUCUUUUAUGUAGGCUUUCAGAUUCUGUUACUAAAGCAAACUGUAAUUGCUACACACGUUUUACCUGUUAGUGGCCCAUACAUCAAUUUUAGUGCCUCUGUGCUGCAAUAAUUUAGAUGGACUUCUGAUUGCAAAAUGUGCCAAGAUUUGAAUUUUCAAUAACUUCUCUGUGUAAUUUAGACCAAGGUUUGCUUUUUUUGUGUUGGUACUUAUACAGUUUCCUUCUGUUCUGAUAAUAGACAAAACAUACUUUCCCUUUCAAAAAUAAAAUUGCUUUUCAGAUCA